UACAGAGGGUGCAAGCGUUAAUCGGAAUUACUGGGCGUAAAGCGUGCGUAGACGGUAGCGUAAGUCGGGUGUGAAAGCCCCGGGCUCAACCUGGGAAUUGCAUUCGAGACUGCUCUGCUAGGGUGCGGAAGAGGGAAGCGGAAUUUCCGGUGUAGCGGUGAAAUGCGUAGAUAUCGGAAGGAACACCAGUGGCGAAAGCGGCUUCCUGGUCCAGCACCGACGUUCAGGCACGAAAAGCGUGGGGAGCAAACAGG
rnacentral:rRNA from 1 species